GAGCUUGUGGCGCAACGGUAGCGCGUCUGACUCCCGAUCAGAAGGUUGCGUGUUCGAGUUACGUCAAGCUCU